rnacentral:tRNA from 1 species
GUCGGGAUAGCUUAGUUGGUAGAGCAAAGCUGCAAAGGACUGAAAAUCCUCGUGUCACCGGUUCAAAUUUGGUUCUUGACA